rnacentral:rRNA from 1 species
GACGAACGCUGGCGGCGUGCCUAAUACAUGCAAGUUGAGCGCUGAAGGUUGGUACUUGUACCAACUGGAUGAGCAGCGAACGGGUGAGUAACGCGUGGGGAAUCUGCCUUUGAGCGGGGGACAACAUUUGGAAACGAAUGCUAAUACCGCAUAAAAACUUUAAACACAAGUUUUAAGUUUGAAAGAUGCAAUUGCAUCACUCAAAGAUGAUCCCGCGUUGUAUUAGCUAGUUGGUGAGGUAAAGGCUCACCAAGGCGAUGAUACAUAGCCGACCUGAGAGGGUGAUCGGCCACAUUGGGACUGGGACACGGCCCAAACUCCUACGGGAGGCAGCAGUAGGGAAUCUUCGGCAAUGGACGAAAGUCUGACCGGGCAACGCCGCGGGAGUGAAGAAGGUUUUCGGAUCGUAAAACUCUGUUGGUAGAGAAGAACGUUGGUGAGAGGGGAAAGCUCAUCAAGUGACGGUAACUACCCAGAAAGGGACGGCUAACUACGUG